rnacentral:rRNA from 1 species
CCCUUAGAUGUUCUGGGCCGCACGCGCGCUACGCUGAUGCAUUCAACGAGCCUAGCCUUGACCGAGAGGUCCGGGUAAUCUUUGAAACUGCAUCGUGAUGGGGCUAGAUUAUUGCAAUUAUUAAUCUUCAACGAGGAAUGCCUAGUAAGCGUGAUUCAUCAAAUCGCGUUGAUUACGUCCCUGCCCUUUGUACACACCGCCCGUCGCUCCUACCGAUUGAGUGUGUUGGUGAGGAGUUUGGAUUGGCCUCGGAAGGUGGUUCGCCACCGUCCGUAGCUGAGAAGUUCUCCAAACCGCCCCACUUAGAGGAAGGAGAAGUCGUAACA